rnacentral:sRNA from 1 species
UUUGCUCCACGGUCAAGUCCCUGUUCCCCAGGCAGGUUUCAGCUGACUGGCAGCAGGCUCCCUGAGUGAUGAGCUUGAACCUGUGGUGUUUCUGGGCGGAAGCUUAUCUUUUUUGAGAGUGUCUGAAGAUGAAGGCAUGGCGAUGCCCAUCCUCUGGCUUGGGUUAAUUCUUCAGUGACACUGGCAUUGCUGGGUGGUGAUGCCCGUCCUCUGGCUUGGGUUAAUUCUUUGGUGACACUGGCAUUGCUGGGUGGCGAUGCCCAUCCUCUGGCUUGGGUUAAUUCUUGGAUGACGUCGGCGUUGCUGGGAGAAUGUGCCGUUCCUGCCCUGCCUCCACCCACCUCGGGAGCAGAAGCCAGGCCUGGACACCCCUUGAAGGAGAGGGCGCUUCCUUGAGUAGUGACUAGGCUACUUUUGCCCACUGUAAAAGGCACCGUCAUCCUGGUAUCAAGAUUCUGGAGAGGCCAGAUUUGAAAUCAAG